UUACGGCCAUAUCAUGUUGAAACACUGAUUCCCGUACGAUCACCGAAGUUAAACAACGUCGAGCCUGGUCAGUACCUUAAUUUGUGGCCGCAGUAAGCUUGGAUGUGCAGGUGGUGU